AGUGGAAUUGCUGGGUCAUAUGGUAGUUCUGUAUUUAACUUUUUAAGGAAUCACCAAACUGUUUUCCAGAGCAGCUACACUAUCUUACAUUCCCACCAGCAAU
rnacentral:pre_miRNA from 1 species